CGGGUGCACUGAUCCAGCCGGGCCUUUCCCUCUGUGGAACCCCAUGGCCUUCACUGGCUGUGGUGGGGAAACAGGACUUUUACUUUGAAAAAAUUAGAGUGCUCCAGGCAGGCCUAUGCUCGAAUACAUUAGCAUGGAAUAAUAGAAUAGGACGUGUGGUUCUAUUUUGUUGGUUUCUAGGACCGCCGUAAUGAUUAAUAGGGACAGUCGGGGGCAUCAGUAUUCAAUUGUCAGAGGUGAAAUUCUUGGAUCUAUUGAAGACUAACUACUGCGAAAGCAUUUGCCAAGGAUGUUUUCAUUGAUAAGGAACGAAAGUUAGGGGAUCGAAGACGAUCAGAUACCGUCGUAGUCUUAACUAUAAACUAUGCCGACUAGGGAUCGGACGAUGUUAUUCUUUGACGCGUUCGGCACCUUUCGAGAAAUCAAAGUGCUUGGGCUCCAGGGGGAGUAUGGUCGCAAGGCUGAAACUUAAAGAAAUUGACGGAAGGGCACCACCAGGGGUGGAACCUGCGGCUUAAUUUGACUCAACACGGGGAAACUCACCAGGUCCAGACACAGUGAGGAUUGACAGAUUGAGAACUCUUUCUUGAUUCUGUGGGUGGUGGUGCAUGGCCGUUCUUAGUUGGUGGAGUGAUUUGUCUGCUUAAUUGCGAUAACGAACGAGACCUUAACCUGCUAAAUAGCCCGUACUGCUUUGGCAGUUCGCCGGCUUCUUAGAGGGACUAUCGG
rnacentral:rRNA from 1 species